GGCCAGACUCCUACGGGAGGCAGCAGUGGGGAAUAUUGCACAAUGGGGGAAACCCUGAUGCAGCGACGCCGCGUGGGUGAAGGAGCGUUUCGGCGCGUAAAGCCCUAUCGGCAGGGAAGAAGGAGGACGGUACCUGACUAAGAAGCCCCGGCUAACUACGUGCCAGCAGCCGCGGGAAUACGUAGGGGGCAAGCGUUAUCCGGGUUUACUGGGUGUAAAGGGGGCGCAGACGGCAGCGCAAGCCAGGAGUGAAAGCCCGGGGCCCAACCCCGGGACUGCUCUUGGAACUGCGCGGCUGGAGUGCAGGAGGGGCAGGCGGAAUUCCUGGUGUAGCGGUGAAAUGCGUAGAUAUUAGGAGGAACACCAGUGGCGAAGGCGGCUUACUGGACUGUAACUGACGUUGAGGCUCGAAAGCGUGGGGAGCAAACAGGAUUAGAUACCCCAGUAGU
rnacentral:rRNA from 1 species